CUCUGUCUGCAUGAGCUGGGAUCAUUCCCUCUCCUGCCAUGACGCGGCCCCAACACUUUCUCCUGCUGCUGCCUUUCCUCUUCCCCAUCUGAAAGUAGCCAUUUAAAAAGGACCGAAAUGGUCUUCAUGAGGUUUAAGGGGUUUAUUAGUUUGAAAAACCAUGUUCCCUGUUUGGAGGAAGGGGAAACAGCCGCCUUCUUUUCACAUUACGUCAAUUCGCAGGCGUCUGUAAUUUACAUUUUUUUAACUCAAAUGUUCAAAAAUAAUGGAAAGGCUUGAAAAAAACAGAUGAAAUAAAAACUGGGGGAAAUGUGUAUUAUACAAAAACCAGACCUGUGAGCCUGAGGCGAGACGCACGGAUGACUUGGGGAGCUGAUUAAUGAGGCAAAGCAAAGGAAGCCCAGGCACCUCUGAGAGGGAGAUGCCCUCUCAGCCAAGUACUCAACAUGAGAAGGCUUCUGCUGUGCAGCUGUCAGAGAAGCAGGGGACAGAUCAAAGCAGGAGAGGACCAACAUCUGUGGCAACCAAAGCAAGUGCAAGUUACCCUGAGUCAGAAAUCUUCAUCAUGUAUUUGAGCAGUUACUUUUGGAACUGAAGUAAAGGACUUUACAUGUCAGAGUCUUGCUCUGUCACCCAGGCUGGAGUGCAGCGGCGCUGUCUUGGCUCACUGCAACCUCCACCUCCCAGGUUUAAGCAGUUAUCCUGCCUCAGCCUCUCAAGAAGCUGGGACUACAGGCACGUGCCACCACGCCCAGGUUCCACCUGAAUUCCUUCCAUGCUUUUCAGCGACUGAACCGUUUGGGUGGCCUGGAAGAUCUUGUGAGCUCCCUAGAGAGAGGAGAGACAGUAUGGAUGGAAUCUGGAGGAGAGACAAGUCUGGGGACCCUGCUUUUCAAGUCUUUUGUGUGAGGGCUGCGUAGGUGGCCUCACUAGCCAGGGAAGAGCUAUGGUAUGCAGGGUCAGGCGGGAAUAAGCAGGAAAUGUUUGUGAUAAGAGGCUCUGCCUCAUUCAAACUCCUCCUGUUUCCAGACCCAGCUGCAGGAUAAGGGCCCAUGAACUGAGCAGGGAGCCUUGGAGGAGGCUGCUGCCAGAGCCAGCCUUUGGGAUUGCAGCAGGAAGAGUAGUAAUCAGAGGUCCUUGGGGGCCCUGAAGUCUAUGCCUGGGGAUAGAAACGACCCUGGGAACUCAGCCAGGGCUGCCUUCCUUUGGGAUCAGGAAUUUCAAUCAUACUUCAGAGGGCCAAAUCAAUCCCUUAAGAAAAAUAAAAGAAAACAAACCC